UCUAAAAACAAACUUACCAUGUCCCUUAAUUUGGUUCUUGUGCUUUGCCUUUUCCUCAUCAUCUCCUUUGCUGAGGGCAAACAACUAGGCAGUAAGUUUUACAACAUUAGAGUUUUAAUUAUCUAGUUAUAGCUGAUAAUCAAUCUUUGGUCUUCUUCAAUAUUUCCUUUUGUGUUUGAAUUUUCUUUUGAAUUUUUAAUGGUGCAGUUGGGUUUCAUGUGAAAGCCACUCCAAGAUGCCAAAAAGUUUAUGGGGUAGAAGCUGGUGAUACUUGCAAUGGGAUCACGCAGAAGUUCAAACUGAAUGCUGAGUUCUUUGCAAUCAAUCCUAACAUCAAUUGCAACAGCAUCUUUGUGGGUCAAUGGCUUUGUAUUGUUGGGACAGCAAAAUAA
rnacentral:lncRNA from 1 species